GGCCGGUACUCCCCAGGCGGGUCUACUUAUUGCGUUAACUGCGUCACUAAGUCUUUAAAAGACCCAACGACUGGUAGACAUCGUUUACGGCGUGGACUACCAGGGUAUCNAAUCUCNGGNUGCCACACACGCUUUCGCACCUCAGUGUCAGUAUGAUGCCAGGGAGCUGCCUUCGCCAUCGGUAUUCCUCCAGAUCUCUACGCAUUUCACCGCUACACCUGGAAUUCUACUCCCCUCUCACCUACUCUAGUUAUCCAGUAUCAGAUGCAGUUCCCAGGUUAAGCCCGGGGCUUUCACAUCUGACUUAAAUAACCACCUACGCGCGCUUUACGCCCAGUAAUUCCGAUUAACGCUUGCACCCUCUGUAUUACCGCGGCUGCUGGCACAGAGUUAGCCGGUGCUUAUUCUGUGGGUAACGUCAGGGCUUAUGGGUAUUAACCAUAAGCUUUUCCUCCCCACUUAAAGUGCUUUACAACCAAAAGGCCUUCUUCACACACGCGGCAUGGCUGGAUCAGGCUUUCGCCCAUUGUCCAAUAUUCCCCACUGCUGCCUCCCGUAGGAGUCUGGGCCGUGUCUCAGUCCCAGUGUGGCUGAUCAUCCUCUCAGACCAGCUACAGAUCGUCGCCUUGGUAGGCCUUUACCCCACCAACCAGCUAAUCCGACUUAGGCUCAUCUAAUAGCGAGAGCU
rnacentral:rRNA from 1 species